rnacentral:rRNA from 1 species
GACGAACCGUGCGAACGUUGUUCGGAAUCACUGGGCUUAAAGGGCGCGUAGGCGGCCUGCCAAGUCAGGGGUGAAAGCCCCCAGCUCAACUGGGGAAGUGCCUUUGAUACUGGCGGGCUCGAGCGAGGCAGGGGUCGUGGGAACUUCCGGUGGAGCGGUGAAAUGCGUUGAUAUCGGAAGGAACGCCGGUGGCGAAAGCGAGAUCCUGGACGUCUUCUGACGCUGAGACGCGAAAGCUAGGGGAGCAAACGGG